AAGCGCGCGCCACACUUCCUCCAACAUCCCCUUCAAAAGCUCCAUUGUUCACUAGGCAUCUGCUCCAGAGCCCGGCCUCUCCCUACCCACUGACCCCAGAUUUUUUUUUUUUUAUUUCCCCCUCCCCCUCCCACUCUGCCGGGCCAAACGGGCCUGCCUGGUGAAUUAAAACGCAGCCUCAGCCAUCUGGUCCUCCCAAGCUAGUCCGGCUUUCCCCCACCCCUCCUCCCUGGUCCACACACCACGCAAGGCAUCUUCACCUCCAUGGAUAUUCCCACAACCCAAGCGCAAACCUCGGUGGAAGGGCGCCUCUGCCGCCGCCUGGCUGGCCCCGGCUUCCUCCAGAUGAGGAGUAUUCGAAUCCAGAGUUACAAUGAAAGUGGAUAGAGAGAUUUUGAAUAUUAAUUUGAAGAAGCCACUUCCAAGAAACAGACACUUCAAGAUAAGGGUAGAAGCAGGUCCUGAAUCAAGCUGUUUCUUUAGGGCGUCUCUGUCUGAUAUUCAAAUGUACUCUUAGAAUUAUCUGGAAAACUCAGCAAUAUUAUCUCCAUUUCUCCUGAGGAAGCAUUCUUCCCCAACUCCCUCACAGCGUUGGUGAUGCUUUAUUGAGAGACCUCUGGCUUUGGAGAAGACAGUUUUAUCUACUGUUGAAUGGGCAGUUUUUGACAGCUGCUGAAUCCUGCCCCUUCCUUGCCUCAGGAAGGAGAAAACCUUCACACUGCCCAAGAGCCUUUCCCUUACCCAGGUGCACCCAACACUCAAGAAUCCAACAGACUGGAGGAGAUAAAGGGGCUACAAGUGUCCUGAGUUCUCCCACAAAAUAGAAGCUUUCAUCUGCUACUUCCGGGAGGACCUACAAACUGGAACAGCUCCCAUGACUUCCACGUGAACAGCAGACACCAGUGAAAGCAGACAUCUAUGACAGGGGAGGGAAUAUUUUCUCAGCCUCCACUUAACUAUGGGGUCAGAUGAAGCGGUAUAACAAGGGUAUGCAGGCAGGCUCUGGAGAAGAAAAAGAACAGCUCUUGCUUCUGCAGCCCAACUUCUAUCCCUAUAUUGCUGGGAAGCAGACAUCGAAGGAGACACAUGGGGUAAAGACAAGUAUUAGAGGCCACUGACUUCCCUCCUUACCUGGCAUGUCAGUUUCCUGUGCCCACAUGGUCCUGGAGGGAGCCCCUGACUAAGGAAUGGCAGGAAAUGGGGCUGUGAGCUGUAUGUGAGAGACACUUGGGGAGGCUGACAGUGGCAGCUGUUGCUUUAUACAGUGUCUCCUUUGGUCUCAUCUUGCUGGAACCUGCUUCAAAACCUCUUCCCUAUGGUUCCCACCAAAAGGUGCCUUGGACUUGUGACAAACUUUUGCCUUUGGUGGCCCCGUUUAUGGGUCAAUUCUGUUUGGAAGGGCAUUUGCCCAUGAAGGGAUGGGUAAUUUGGGGUGUCCCACUGAAAAAACUCUUAUUAGGAACUUUCUUGUCCUUGUAGUUCCUGUACUUUUUUUUUUUCCCUCUCCUCCCCCCCAUCUCU